rnacentral:rRNA from 1 species
UCCUGGCCCUAAACGAUGCACACUAGGUGGGGGAGGGUCUGACGCCCAUCCCCGCCGCAGAGAAAUCGUUAAGUGUGCCGCCUGGGGAGUACGGUCGCAAGGCUAAAACUCAAAGGAGUUGACGGGGGCUCACACAAGCGGUGGAGCAUGUGGCUCAAUUCGAGGCAACGCGAAGAACCUUAUCCUGGGCUUGACAUGCAGGUAGUAGAACCCCGAAAGGGGAACGACCGGUUCAGCCCGGAGCCUGCACAGGUGCUGCAUGGCUGUCGUCAGCUCGUGCUGUGAAGUGUCGGGUUAAGU